rnacentral:misc_RNA from 1 species
GAUAAGAUCAUCACACUCGAGAUCCAGCAUUACAACACAUGAUCUGUACCUUGCUAGAGUUUCUAAGAUGACAACUCUUCUUCCGAAGGAUGGACUAUUUAUAUCACCUAAGCCGCUGAAAGUGCUCACAAUCAAAUGGAAGAUGUCCUUUAGAACAUCAUCACUGUACGGUGCUUCAGGUGCAGUAAUUCUAGUUAUCUCA